AGAGCCGCGAGCUGGACCAGCCGUGCAAAUCUCUAGAAGAUGACGGUGUUCUUUAAAACGCUUCGAAAUCACUGGAAGAAAACUACAGCUGGGCUCUGCCUGCUGACCUGGGGAGGCCAUUGGCUCUAUGGAAAACACUGUGAUAACCUCCUAAGGAGAGCAGCCUGUCAAGAAGCUCAGGUGUUUGGCAAUCAACUCAUUCCUCCCAAUGCACAAGUGAAGAAGGCCACUGUUUUUCUCAAUCCUGCAGCUUGCAAAGGGUAAGCUAAAAUACUGCCACUGAAGGAAAGUCUUUUCUAAAGGUGUUGUCUCCUUUAACAAGGUGAAGAAUCCCUGCGUGCUUCUGGGAAAGUCUGAAACUCUCCAGCAUCCUUUCUUUUUUUCUUUUAAAAGCUUUCACUAUUUAAUUGCACUAUUUUUGUCAUCAUAGCUCUGUCCUGACACAUAAUUUAUAAUUUAUCAUGUAGCUAUUUCAUUAUGUAGUACUGGUUUAAAACUACAUAAGAGCUUUAAGAAAUAAGAUAACUGUGUGUUUAGCAUUAAUAAAUAAUACAUAAAAGAGUAAUU
rnacentral:lncRNA from 1 species